AGAAGAUCCAGUGCAAGUUCCGGAAACAUAUUUACGAUGGUCAUUAUGAAAGAGUCCAUUCCUAGUGCACAUGCAGCGUUUAUCGUCUAAAAUAAAAACCAAGAAUAUAUCUUAUUUGAUCGUUCCACUCUGAAUGAUGACUGCAAUUUGAGAAAUGUUAUGUACAGAUGCGAUUCGAGAACUUUUGUGUUGCAGUUUAUAUGCUUGAAUUUUAAAAGGUAGCAUUGUGAUACGCAGUGCUAUUUACGCGUCGUGUCGGGAGUGCCGUGUAAAGUUUCGCGUGUCGGGAGUGCCGUUGAAAGUAUCGGACGAUCGUAUUCAUGUUUUCGCGAGUGUCUUGAGUGCUACAAAGAUCCAAGAGAGGAGGAGGAGGCCCGGGGAGGCAUCAGGCGACAGUGGGCCAGGUGUGAGAUUCGUGUGCUGUAUAUUACAACUUCGCUAUUGCACAUAUUGGUGAGUGAGAAAUUGUUUAUAAC